AGUCGAGCGAAACGGAUAGGAGCUUGCUCCUUUGAAGUUAGCGGCGGACGGGUGAGUAACACGUGGGUAACCUACCUAUAAGACUGGAAUAACUUCGGGAAACCGGAGCUAAUGCCGGAUAACAUUUGGAACCGCAUGGUUCUAAAGUAAAAGAUGGUUUUGCUAUCACUUAUAGAUGGACCCGCGCCGUAUUAGCUAGUUGGUAAGGUAACGGCUUACCAAGGCAACGAUACGUAGCCGACCUGAGAGGGUGAUCGGCCACACUGGAACUGAGACACGGUCCAGACUCCUACGGGAGGCAGCAGUAGGGAAUCUUCCGCAAUGGACGAAAGUCUGACGGAGCAACGCCGCGUGAGUGAUGAAGGUUUUCGGAUCGUAAAACUCUGUUAUUAGGGAAGAACAAAUGUGUAAGUAACUGUGCACAUCUUGACGGUACCUAAUCAGAAAGCCACGGCUAACUACGUGCCAGCAGCCGCGGUAAUACGUAGGUGGCAAGCGUUAUCCGGAAUUA
rnacentral:rRNA from 1 species